rnacentral:rRNA from 1 species
GAUGAACGCUGGCGGCGUGCCUAAUACAUGCAAGUCGAGCGAACAGACGAGGAGCUUGCUCCUCUGACGUUAGCGGCGGACGGGUGAGUAACACGUGGAUAACCUACCUAUAAGACUGGGAUAACUUCGGGAAACCGGAGCUAAUACCGGAUAAUAUAUUGAACCGCAUGGUUCAAUAGUGAAAGACGGUUUUGCUGUCACUUAUAGAUGGAUCCCCGCCGCAUUAGCUAGUUGGUAAGGUAACGGCUUACCAAGGCAACGAUGCGUAGCCGACCUGAGAGGGUGAUCGGCCACACUGGAACUGAGACACGGACCAGACUACUACGGGAGGCAGCAGUAGGGAAUCUUCCGCAAUGGGCGAAAGCCUGACGGAGCAACGCCGCGUGAGUGAUGAAGGUCUUCGGAGCGUAAAACUCUGUUAUUAGGGAAGAACAAAUGUGUAAGUAACUAUGCACGGCUUGACGGUACCUAAUCAGAAAGCCACGGCUAACUACGUG